rnacentral:tRNA from 1 species
GCGCCUAUAGUUCAACGGAUAGAACAGGGGCCUUCUAAGCCUCAAAUCCGGGUUCGAUUCCCAGUGGGCGCA